rnacentral:rRNA from 1 species
CGAACGGGUGAGUAACGCGUGAGGAACCUGCCUCAAAGAGGGGGACAACAGUUGGAAACGACUGCUAAUACCGCAUAAGCCCACGGGUCGGCAUCGACCUGAGAGAAAAGGAGCAAUCCGCUUUGAGAUGGCCUCGCGUCCGAUUAGCUAGUUGGUGAGGUAACGGCCCACCAAGGCGACGAUCGGUAGCCGGACUGAGAGGUUGAACGGCCACAUUGGGACUGAGACACGGCCCAG